AAAGUAAACAAUCAUAAAAAGAUAAAUCUUUUUUUUUAUUUUACAUAUGAAUCAUUGGCUUUAAGUGAAAGAUAAUAUGUAGUCAGUUUCAGUAAUGAAAAAACCCAAUAACCAUUUUUAAGUGAAGUUUUGGUAAAGAUGACGAUGAAGGCAAAUGAGCGACAAAGAAUACAGAAAGGUUUCUUAACUUUUGAAGAGCUACCAAAAAACAUUUUUGUUUUUCUUCGAAAUCGUCCUUCUUUAUGAUGUACCACCAAAAGCGACAGCAGUCAAAUCUUUCAAUAAAUUAGGUUUUAAUUGUUUGUCUAUUAAUGUAAUUUUUGAAUACGAUGUUGUAUCGUGUAUUUUUAAAUUUACAAAUAGUAAUUGUAAGAAAUUGAAAGAAAUAAUACGGUAUUUAUAUAAUAAUACGGUAAUUAAACAAGGUAAUUAAAUCCUCUACUAGCAUACAUUAGUAUACUAGUAGAGAUUUUUAGUGCAAUUUUUAAAAUAUAAAAUGAACAUAACAUGCAUUUUUAUGUAAAAACUAUAUAAAAACUGUAAUAUAGACGUGUAUAUGGAACAAUAA